CGAUGGGAAACGGGUUAAUAUUCCCGUACUUCUGACUAUUGCGAUGGGGGGACGGAGAAGGCUAGGUGGGCCAGGCGACGGUUGUCCUGGUUCAAGUGCGUAGGCUUGAGAGUUAGGUAAAUCCGGCUCUCUCUAAGGCUGAGACACGACGUCGAGCUACUACGGUAGUGAAGUCAUUGAUGCCAUGCUUCCAGGAAAAGCCUCUAAGCUUCAGAUAGUCAGGAAUCGUACCCCAAACCGACACAGGUGGUCGGGUAGAGAAUACCAAGGCGCUUGAGAGAACUCGGGUGAAGGAACUAGGCAAAAUGGUACCGUAACUUCGGGAGAAGGUACGCUCUUGAUGGUGAAGUCCCUCGCGGAUGGAGCUGACGAGAGUCGCAGAUACCAGGUGGCUGCAACUGUUUAUUAAAAACACAGCACUGUGCAAAAUCGCAAGAUGACGUAUACGGUGUGACGCCUGCCCGGUGCCGGAAGGUUAAUUGAUGGGGUUAGCGCAAGCGAAGCUCUUGAUCGAAGCCCCGGUAAACGGCGGCCGUAACUAUAACGGUCCUAAGGUAGCGAAAUUCCUUGUCGGGUAAGUUCCGACCUGCACGAAUGGCGUAAUGAUGGCCACGCUGUCUCCACCCGAGACUCAGUGAAAUUGAAAUCGCUGUGAAGAUGCAGUGUACCCGCGGCUAGACGGAAAGACCCCGUGAACCUUUACUACAGCUUGGCACUGAACAUUGAACCUACAUGUGUAGGAUAGGUGGGAGGCUAUGAAGACGUGACGCCAGUUGCGUUGGAGCCGUCCUUGAAAUACCACCCUUGUAUGUUUGAUGUUCUAACUUAGACCCGUUAUCCGGGUUGAGGACAGUGCCUGGUGGGUAGUUUGACUGGGGCGGUCUCCUCCCAAAGAGUAACGGAGGAGCACGAAGGUGGGCUAAUCACGGUUGGACAUCGUGAGGUUAGUGCAAUGGCAUAAGCCCGCUUAACUGCGAGAAUGACGGUUCGAGCAGGUGCGAAAGCAGGUCAUAGUGAUCCGGUGGUUCUGUAUGGAAGGGCCAUCGCUCAACGGAUAAAAGGUACUCCGGGGAUAACAGGCUGAUACCGCCCAAGAGUUCAUAUCGACGGCGGUGUUUGGCACCUCGAUGUCGGCUCAUCACAUCCUGGGGCUGAAGUCGGUCCCAAGGGUAUGGCUGUUCGCCAUUUAAAGUGGUACGCGAGCUGGGUUUAGAACGUCGUGAGACAGUUCGGUCCCUAUCUGCCGUGGGCGUUGGAAGAUUGAAGGGGGCUGCUCCUAGUACGAGAGGACCGGAGUGGACGAACCUCUGGUGUUCGGGUUGUGUCGCCAGACGCAUUGCCCGGUAGCUAAGUUCGGAAUUGAUAAGCGCUGAAAGCAUCUAAGCGCGAAGCGAGCCCUGAGAUGAGUCUUCCCUGACAGUUUAACUGUCCUAAAGGGUUGUUCGAGACUAGAACGUUGAUAGGCAGGGUGUGUAAGCGUUGUGAGGCGUUGAGCUAACCUGUACUAAUUGCCCGUGAGGCUUAACCAU
rnacentral:rRNA from 1 species